rnacentral:lncRNA from 1 species
GUUUGCCCAUUUACAGAGUCCUGUUCAGAGGUUUUUAGUCUAUUCUCAGUUGUGACACACUGUCACCAAAUUUAAUGAUAUUUCUUUGUUUUUUAAAGUCUAGAUCAAUGAAAAUGGCCCAUUGGAAUGAAAUUACCUAAGAGCUGACAUCAAACAGAAAAGAAGCAGAGAAAAGGGCUCUCAAUGAGUCACAAAUACAUAAACAAGAUUGCACUGUGCAAGAUAUAAAGGGACUCCCUGCCCUACCUGCUUACAGUAUUGUUAAAACUUGGUGAUGCCAAGGAGAUUACAACUUUGAGCCUGAGAACUCCGUCUUAAUCAAUCAACCUGAAAUUGGUUCUUGUCGUGAAAUUGGCUUCCUCUCUGCUCCUGUGUAUUAUCCGCCUUUCGAUGAACUGCUACAAAAACCUGUUGCUCUGGUUUCUCCAGAAUUCAGAGGGAUGCUUCUGUCAUUGUGAGUCUACUGAGAGCCAACAAACUUCCUUCUGAUCCUGAUGUCAUCCCCUGGAAACUGACGUUAGCACAACCUACAAUGUUGGGUUCUCCUUCCCUUCCUGUGUGCAUGUGGGCUAAGUUGCUCCAGUCGU